rnacentral:tRNA from 1 species
UGGUAGAGCGCUCCACUGGAAAUGGAGAGGUCCCUGGUUUGAUACCAGGAGGACCAG